GGUUGGCUUAGAAGCAGCCAUCCUUUAAAGAAAGCGUAAUAGCUCACUGGUCUAACGAUUCUGCGCCGAAAAUGUAACGGGGCUAAGUAUGGUACCGAAGCUACGGGAUGCGACUAGUUCGCAUCGGUAGGAGAGCGUUCUCAGAUGGGAUGAAGGUGAAUCGGAAGGUUUGCUGGACUAAUGAGAAGUGAUUAUGCUGGCAUGAGUAACGAUAAAACAAGUGAGAAACUUGUUCGCCGUAAGACUAAGGUUUCCUGGGUAAAGCUAAUCUUCCCAGGGUUAGUCGGUCCCUAAGGCGAGGCCGAAAGGCGUAGUCGAUGGAAAACGGGUUAAUAUUCCCGUACCAGCAAAUGUGUGCGAUGGAGGGACGCAGUAGGAUAGCUCAGCCGGCUGUUGGAUAUGCCGGUGUAAGCACGUAGGCUUGAGUCAUAGGCAAAUCCGUGACUCUUUAAGGCCGAGAUGCGAUGCCGUAACUUUACGUUUGAAGUGAGUGAUUCCAGACUGCCUAGAAAAUCUUCUAAGUUUAGCAUUUGUUGACCGUACCGCAAACCAACACAGGUAGUCGGGUCGAGUAGACCAAGGCGCUUGAGAGAACUCUGGUUAAGGAACUCGGCAAAAUGAUCCCGUAAGUUAGCGAGAAGGGAUGCUCCAGACGGUGAAGUUAUUUACUCUCCGAGCUGUUUGGAGCCGCAGAGAAUCGGGGGGGGCGACUGUUUACUAAAAACAUAGGUCUCUGCUAAGUCGUAAGACGAUGUAUAGGGACUGACGCCUGCCCGGUGCUGGAAGGUUAAAAGGAGGUGUUAGACUUCGGUCGAAGCUCCGAAUUGAAGCCCCAGUAAACGGCGGCCGUAACUAUAACGGUCCUAAGGUAGCGAAAUUCCUUGUCGGGUAAGUUCCGACCUGCACGAAUGGCGUAACGAGGGCCACACUGUCUCCACCCGAGACUCAGUGAAAUUGAAAUUGCUGUUAAGAUGCAGUAUACCCGCGGCCAGACGGAAAGACCCCGUGCACCUUUACUACAGCUUUGCAUUGAACUCUGAUCCUACCUGUGUAGGAUAGGUGGGAGACUUUGAAACUUUAACGCUAGUUAGAGUGGAGUCAUCCUUGAAAUACCACCCUGGUAUGGUUGGGGUUCUAACCUUGGUCCGUUAUCCGGAUUGGGGACAAUGCAUGGUGGGUAGUUUGACUGGGGCGGUCUCCUCCCAAAGAGUAACGGAGGAGCGCAAAGGUACCCUCAGCACGGUCGGACAUCGUGCAAUGAGCGCAAAGGUAAAAGGGUGCUUGACUGCGAGACUGACACGUCGAGCAGGUAGGAAACUAGGUCUUAGUGAUCCGGUGGUUCUGAGUGGAAGGACCAUCGCUCAACGGAUAAAAGGUACGCCGGGGAUAACAGGCUGAUACCGCCCAAGAGUUCACAUCGACGGCGGUGUUUGGCACCUCGAUGUCGGCUCAUCACAUCCUGGGGCUGAAGCAGGUCCCAAGGGUAUGGCUGUUCGCCAUUUAAAGUGGUACGCGAGCUGGGUUUAGAACGUCGUGAGACAGUUCGGUCCCUAUCUACCGUGGGCGUUGGAGACUUGAGGGAAGCUGUUCUUAGUACGAGAGGACCGGAAUGGACACACCUCUGGUGUUUCGGUUAUGACGCCAGUCGUAUUGCCGAGUAGCUAUGUGUGGAAAGGAUAACCGCUGAAAGCAUCUAAGCGGGAAGCCCCUCCCAAGAUUAGGUCUCCCUGACAGUUUAACUGUCCUAAAGAUCCCUCGGAGACUACGAGGUUGAUAGGCACGGUGUGGAAGAGUAGUGAUACUUGAAGCUAACGUGUACUAAUUGAUCGUGAGGCUUGACC
rnacentral:rRNA from 1 species